UAGGGAAUCUUCGGCAAUGGACGAAAGUCUGACCGAGCAACGCCGCGUGAGUGAAGAAGGUUUUCGGAUCGUAAAACUCUGUUGUUAAAGAAGAACACGUAUGAGAGUAACUGUUCAUACGUUGACGGUAUUUAACCAGAAAGUCACGGCUAACUACGUGCUAG
rnacentral:rRNA from 1 species